rnacentral:rRNA from 1 species
GACGAACGCUGGCGGCGUGCUUAACACAUGCAAGUCGAACGGUAAGGCCCCAGCUUGCUGGGGUACACGAGUGGCGAACGGGUGAGUAACACGGGGGUGACCUGCCCCGCACUUCGGGAUAAGCCUGGGAAACUGGGUCUAAUACCGGCUAGGACCGCACCGUGAGGGUGUGGUGGAAAGUUUUUCGGUGUGGGAUGGGCCCGCGGCCUAUCAGCUUGUUGGUGGGGUAAUGGCCUACCAAGGCGGCGACGGGUAGCCGGCCUGAGAGGGUGGACGGCCACAUUGGGACUGAGACACGGCCCAGACGCCUACGGGAGGCAGCAGUGGGGAAUAUUGCACAAUGGGCGGAAGCCUGAUGCAGCGACGCCGCGUGGGGGAUGACGGCCUUCGGGUUGUAAACUCCUUUCACCAUCGACGAAGGUUUUCUGACGGUAGAUGGAGAAGAAGCACCGGCUAACUACGUG